GGUGGCUCAGUGGUAGAGCGCUUGCCUUGCAUGCCUGUAGGCCCUGAGUUCGAUUCCUCAGCACCA
rnacentral:tRNA from 1 species